rnacentral:lncRNA from 1 species
CUUUUUUGGGUGUAAGUUUGUGUUUGGAGUGUUUCUUUUGGAUUGACUUUUUGUUUCUUGGAUUUUGAUUCAUUAAAUUAAAGAAUAACUAGCUUCUUGAUUUAUUAAAUCUCACAUAUUGUAUCAUUUAUAUGUAUUUUUGUGAUUCUUUCUUUCCAACCAGCUUUCAGUAUCAGUUGUAUUCGAGAGGCUUAAUGACAAGAGUGGUGUGUGAAUUAAGGCCUCUUUUUCUCUACCUAUUUUCAUUGUCAUUUCAAUUGAGUUGCAAAUCUGGAGAGGUUCAAUUUAUCCAACUUUAUAAUUAUGAAAGUGAAAUAACAGGAUAAAAACAACAGAUAGAGUAGAAAAGAAAAACAAGAUAGAAUCUAACACAUUUGGAAAGCUACAUUUUUAUUAAUAUGGUUGGAAAAUACAGUAGUCCACAAGCUUUCCAUGCAAAGCUGUAACGAUACUUUUGGAACAAAACCACUUUAAUGUUUCGGAUAACAAAUGCAAACUCUUGUUUAAGUAGUACUCCCAUUUUUAACAAAUUACACAAAAGAAUAACAACUAUAGAAGUACAUAAUAUCUUGAUCGAUCACUUUCUUAGCUUAUAUAUGCAAGAAGAUGGUACUGAUGAUCAA